AUCUUCUUUGGGUGUCUUAGCUACUAUAGAUAGAGCAUGUAAACCAGAUUGGAAUUCAUCAGUCAAGAGAUCAUACACCAUACGGUGACGUUUAACAAGAUUCUGUCCGUCGAACUUGUUUGACACAAUUUUGAGAUUGAAAUGUGUCUCGUUUGUUCCGGUUUCCCUGACGGCGGCAUGACCGGCGUGCUGGUAAGAAACGUCUUCGACUUCAAUUAUGUUAGCUUCAAGUGCUGAUUGUAGCUUCGUCUUCAUCCUACUUGCCCUCGACAGAAUCCCUCGUGACGCCAUGCUGAACCCUAAUUUCUUCUCUCUUCUCCGGUAAGCUCUCUGCCGCCGAUACUCCUAAAAAUAAUUGACUGAAG
rnacentral:misc_RNA from 1 species